GGGCAAUUAGCUCAGUUGGUUAGAGCGUUCGAUUCACAUUCGAAAGGUCACAAGUUCGAAUCUUGUAUUGCCCACCA
rnacentral:tRNA from 1 species